rnacentral:tRNA from 1 species
GCGGAUAUAGAUCAAGGGUAAAUCAUCUGCCUUCCAAGCAGAGGAUAUGGGUUCGAUUCCCGUUAUCCGCA